rnacentral:lncRNA from 1 species
UUUUUUUUGAAACAUAAAGAACCUGUUUUAUUUUUUUCCAAAUACAGAUACAGAAGUGUGCGUGUUUUGCAAAUAUUGCUUCAAAGCAACAUUUCUGUUCUAAUAGCGCAUAAACAUAGAUGUGUAUCCACAGUGCAAUGUUGGCUCAUCAAGGAUCCACCUUGCAUACUUAUCACUUAAGCAAAAUGAUUAGUCAAACCAAAACAUUUUGUCAAGGCAAUUUUUAUAGGUGGAUAGUUUUUCUCAGACAAAAAACUUAGGUAGUGCACAUAUUUCUAAAUGGUAUCAGCAAUGUUUGCAAAUAACAGUUUCCAGUGCUCCAACGUGGGGUUAAUUCACUUUGACCCAGAAAGUGAGGAUGGAGCCCCUCAACAUGGCUUUAAAUUAGGGAAACACACUGAGGUUAUCAGAACUUGGGGAGUCUUCCUGCCUCCCUAAGAACAAAAGUCGUAAUGAGUCAAAAAGGAUGAUUUCCUUUACAAAACCUAAAUGAUAAACUCAGUAAGAACCACCUGGCAAAAUUAGAGUAAUUCAGUUUCUGCUUUCCUCUUAGAACAAGAUACGAAAUUGACUACCUUAAAAGUUACAGCUUCCCCUAGUUGUGAUACUCAAAUGUAAUUUCAGGAAAGAAAACAAUAAUACAACAGUCAUCAUACCUGACAGUUGUGGCUAUAGAAAAUCAUACUGUUUCUUCCCUUUUCAGAAAAGCAUCACACAAUUCUGAUGCAGCUGUCUGAUAAAUUAUCUAGAGCACAGAUAGAUGCCAUACAUACUCCUUGAGUAUUUCUUCCUAUACCAGAAACACCAGUGUUAGCAAUGGCAAACAGCCUCUUGUAAUAGAAUUGGGUCCAUUUCAUUAUUAAAUGUUACAGCUGCAUGUAUUCCCACUCAUGGAUAAGCUAUACAGGUCAGCUUGUCCUAUAAUUCAUUUUAUAUCAAAUGGCAAACAAAUUUCUCAACAGCAUUCCCUCAAACAUUAGUACGGAGGCCUGAAUUCAUGACCAUAAUGACCUGUGCCUUAAAGCCUAACCAUUUUUUUUUUUCAUACUGAGGAUCAAACUCGGGACCUUGC